UAGGUCUGAGGUAGUGCUAAUGUGUGGCUCUUGAUCUCUCUGGGGCACCCAUAGUGACAUAAGCAAAUGAGCUAUUGCGAGAAUAUAUGGGUAGUGUCAAGCGCCAAGGCAGGUCACGGUAACCAUUAUUCAUUGGCCUAGGGGGUGGUCCAGAUUUUUAAACAAACAACAAAUAGAUUGACUCCAAUGGAGAGAGAAAAAUGGAUUUUGCCCUUGAUCAGAAAGAUAGUGAAAACUGAAGCUCCAGGAAGGGAGAGAGAAGAAGGGAAGGAGACAAUAUGGAUCAUAUGACUUUGGAAAACUUAUGUGGAAAAAAAAAGGACAUGAAAAUCCAGCCCUUUAUUAAAAGGACUCUGUGAUAAGACAGACCAACUUUAAUUGUACUAGGUUCAAACUGUUCCAGAACACCUAUCUGGGUGAGAAAGGAGAAGGACAACAGAAGAGAGAAAAGAGGUUUUGUUUUUUAAAAUGGGGCUUGGACAAAUAUUUUAUUCCACUACAUUUAGUGGUAGCACACAUCCCAGCAAA